GUGGGGAAUAUUGGACAAUGGGGGGAACCCUGAUCCAGCCAUGCCGCGUGUGUGAAGAAGGCCUUUUGGUUGUAAAGCACUUUAAGCGAGGAGGAGGCUACCGAGAUUAAUACUCUUGGAUAGUGGACGUUACUCGCAGAAUAAGCACCGGCUAACUCUGUGCCAGCAGCCGCGGUAAUACAGAGGGUGCAAGCGUUAAUCGGAUUUACUGGGCGUAAAGCGCGCGUAGGUGGCCAAUUAAGUCAAAUGUGAAAUCCCCGCGCUUAACUUGGGAUUUGCAUUCGGUACUGGUUGGCUAGAGUAUGGGGGUGGAUGGUAGAAUUCCAGGUGUAGCGGUGAAAUGCGUAGAGAUCUGGAGUAAUACCGAUGGCGAAGGCAGCCAUCUGGCCUAAUACUGACACUGAGGUGCGAAAGCAUGAGGAGCAAACAGGAUUAGAUACCCCAGUAGUCC
rnacentral:rRNA from 1 species